CGUUUACAGAUAUUUUACAUGAUAUGAGUGAUAACACGUGUUAAGGGCUAUUUUGCACAAUAGGUGUGCCUUGAGAUUUUUACUUGUCCUUUGGUGUGCCUUGGGCACAACAAGUUUGGGAACCACUGCUCUACACCAAUAAAGGGCCCAGGAUUGGGACCUCGCAAGAGACCUCGACUGGAGUUGGAGGAGGAACAAGCAGAGACGUCGACAGAAUUUGAGGAGACUCUGGGUUCGAGUUACCACCCUGAUGAUACUGUAGAAGAAUGCGACGUAUCGUAUCACUAAUCCUAGGAUAAUGUUUGUCCAAGAAACUUCUGAAACUUACACAGAACAAGGACUGUGACACGAAGUUGAAGAGGUGGCUGCGCAGCAUAAAAAACCAUGUCUACUGGAGUGCGACGAGCACAACCUCGGGGCCGGAGAAGGUGGCAAGGUGGACGUCACUGGUCAACCACCUACAAAACGUUCACGUGCAUGAUGACCCCCUGUUCCCCAAGUGCACACAUCCUGUAGGAGCCGCAAGCGAUGCAAAUAAACCUUACCUAAAAGGUGGCUCAAUAACACUCGCCAGAGUUGAAACGAUACUCACCAACAAGAGAGUUCUCAAAGAUGUGCUAAAGCUAAGCCAUCACCCAGACCUCAUCCCUGGAGUCCUUCCACAACUUAAUUCUGUGUUUUACCCCAAAAAAUGUGGUUUUCCCCUUCAUUGGAAUGUUGUGCAGGUUGUGUCUAGCAGCAAUGCAUCACAACGAGAAUGCUGGGCGUGACCAAGCGACAACUGCUGCAGGAAAACUUGUCUUCAAAUUGGUUUAUCCAAAAUCAAAGAGGGGAGAGUGUACGGUCAAGCCUGUUAAGAACGACCCUACAUACAUCUAUGUGGAUGUUAGGACCCGCCUCCCUACUCAAUAGUAGUGGCUCGUGAGGCAGUCCGCAACAUAAAACAAAAGUACACAACACGUAGGCACUAAACUGUGAUCAUACAUUUAUUGCCACAAUACUAAAUCAUUCCACUGGAGGACAGGUAAAACAAACAAACAGACGGAGGGGACUUGGGCCAACCACACCACGGGCCGUAGGAUCCAGAGCCUUCCUCCGCUACCCAAAAUCCAACAGAACCUAACGGGAGAAAUAAAGCCGUGAAAACCUAAUACUAACACGUCCUCCAGGAAACACAACAAAAAGGCAAAAGAGCUCUGACACAGCAGACAUCCGGAGUAGUGAUCGGCUUCCUCCUUCUCCUUCAGCCUCCUCUUUUAUGCUCGGCUGAUUGGCAACACCUGGCCAGCCAAGCUCGGCUGAGUGACAACUGGGAACACCUGGGGAAGGCGGAGCCAGGUGUACCUGCACAACAGAGAGAACAAAGAGGACGACAAAAGGGGGGGAGUAUGUAACAGUGGAUGAGCUGCCGAGGCUUGUGUUUCACAAAGUCUUUCUGGACCCUACACCCUUUGUGGACGAGCUGAAACGAAUCCACCUCCCAGAGGACCUGUCAACUCAAUUUGACAGGCCCCCCAAGGAGGAAAUGAUUGUCAGCCGUUUCUCCCGUUUUCCCCCAAAGGAGGUCGAAAUCCUACAUAUUGUCCAGCCAGAUCUGGAAACUCCUGGCGGAUCCGGAGCACAACACACGACGGAAUCACCACUCUGAUGGCUCGCCCUAAAUAUCCCCAGCACCAGCUUACAAAGCUGCGAUACGCAAGAUAUCGAAAAUGCCUAUCAGGAUAGGAAUGGAUGAUGUACAGUGUAUAAAUAUACAUUCACACAUUUUGUACAUUUGUAAAAAUAAAGUUUGAUGGAAAUA